UACGGGGGGGGCAAGCGUUGUUCGGAAUUACUGGGCGUAAAGGGCUCGUAGGCGGCCAACUAAGUCAGACGUGAAAUCCCUCGGCUUAACCGGGGAACUGCGUCUGAUACUGGAUGGCUUGAGUUUGGGAGAGGGAUGCGGAAUUCCAGGUGUAGCGGUGAAAUGCGUAGAGAUCCGGAGGAACACCGACGGCGUAGGCAGCGCCCUGGACGACACCUGACGCUGAGGCACGAAAGCUGGGGGAGCGAACAGG
rnacentral:rRNA from 1 species